rnacentral:rRNA from 1 species
GAUGAACGCUAGCUACAGGCUUAACACAUGCAAGUCGAGGGACCGGCGCUCGCGUGAGUAACACUUAUCCAACCUUCCCUUUACUCGGGGAUAGCCUUUCGAAAGAGAGAUUAAUACCCGAUCUAAAGGAUGGGGAUGGGUUCCAUUAGGUUGGUGGUAAGGUAACGGCCCACCGAGCAUUCGAUGGAUAGGGGUUAUGAGAGGAAGGUCCACCAGAUUGGAACUGAGACACGGUCCAAACUCGUACGGGAGGCUGCAGUGAGUACUACUGGUGACUGGGCGUUAGCCUGACACAGCCAAGUAGCGGGAAGGAUGAAGGGGUAUGGGUACUAAACUUCUUUUAUAUAAGAAUAUGUAUUAAACGAAUAAGGAUCGGCUAACUCCGUGCCAGCCGCCGCGGUAAUAC